CUCUUUGGAUUCUAGCACUUCUCUUUUCUAUGUUUUUUCUUUACCCUUUUUCUAUAUUUGAAGGUGUACCUGGCGUAUUAAAUUUCUCAUAGGAUCUUUAGCAGUUAACUGUAAUUGGUAGUUUUUUUUGGAGAAAUGAUGAUACAAUUUUCAUUUUCAGUGAUUCUAGCUAAAUCCCUUUUGAUUCUUGUACUUAUUUUGAUCUUGAUCUUUUUUUGAAGUUUUAGGUUACUCUGGGUACAUGGGUAAUUUGUAUACUUCCACACUUAAACCAGUAAAAAGAUUACUCAUAGCAUCUCCAAAGAAAUUGAAUCUUUUUAUGCUCACCAAAAAGGAUUUUGAUAAGGAGUAAAUGUUCAUUGGUGCAUGGGUAAAUUUGUGUACUUCCAGAUUUGCACCAAUAAAAAGAUUCCUCAUAGCAUCUGAAAGAAGUAUUGAAAAGCACUUGUACAUUUUACUUCUUUAAGCAUAGUUCCAGGUUUGCACAUAAAAUAACUUCGAUUUUGUUUUUGCCGUAUACAAAAUGGAUACCUGAUUUCUUAUCCAUUCUUCUUGCUCUUUGUUGUUCUGUGUUUCCUAUGCAUAUUGUUUUUUAGUUUAUCACUCUAUAAUGGUUUUAAAAAGCUUAUAUCAAUAUUAUAUAGACUUCGAUUUCCCCUUUAUAUGAGUUGAAAAUAGUACUUGGCAAUUGUCACCUGAAUGUCUGAUAGAAAUCUCCCUCUUUGGAAUCGAAAGUAAAAAAAGAAAAAGAAAAA